CCCAAAAGCAUUUUCGCCCCCCCUUUACCCUAAUUCCCACGCCUUCUCAUUUUCUCUCACGCUCAGUUGCCUUCCCCCUCUCUCUCUCCCCCAAAUUUUACCCUAAUUCCCAAACUUUCUCACUUCAGUUUACCCUAAGCUCCAUGGAUUGAAUUUCGUCACAGAUUAACAGUGCAAAAGGUAGAGAUGUCAAUGGAAGGUAUUGAUGAUUCUUGUGAACAAAGCUCUUCAACUACGCUAAAACGAGCAAAAAGACAAACGUCUACCGUUUGGGAUUCUUUUGUUAAGGUAGUAGAGCCUAGUAUUUAUAGUGAUGGAAAGAUUAAAGUCAAAUGUACGCUUUGUGAAAAGACUAUAUAUACGAUUCUAAAUUUGGAACAUCGAAUUUGAAGCGUCAUUUGGUGAUAAAACAUCCAUUGGAUAAUGCAAAAGAGGGACAGAGUGCACCAAUAGAUCAAAAAAUUUAUUGAGAGAAAAUGUCAGGCAUAACUAUGCUUUCAGUUUUGUAGAACAUAAAGGCAUCAAGGACCUUCAUUUAUACUUAAAUCCUGUUGUCAAGCACAUAUCAAGAAACACAACCAAGUCAGAUCUCUUGAAUAUGUAUGCAGGCGAAAAAGAACUUUUGAAAAGUGAGCUUGCAGUUAUUCCUAGUAGAGUAUGUUUAACAUUAGACAUGUGGACUUCAGUAACAUCUAAUGGGUAUAUGUGCGUUACGGCCCAUUAUGUGGAUUUAAAUUGGGUUCUUCAGAAGAGGGUGUUGAUUUUUCGUCAUGUUCCUCUUCCACAUUUAGGCGCGGUUUUAGGUCCCUUAUUGAUUAGCUUUCUUAAAGAAUGUGGAAUCCAAAAGAAAAUCUUUACCCUUUGGAUAAUGCUACUUGCAAUAAUGGUGUAGUGAAUAAUUUAAAGAAUCAUUUUACUUUGAUGCGUUCACUAGUUUGCGAGGGAAAGUAUCUUCAUGUCCGUUGUGGGAAUCACAUUUUGAACUUAAUUGUUAAGGCGGGCUUAGAGAAGGCUGAUGCAACUAUUACAAAAAUUAGAGAAGGUGUUAAGUAUAUCAAGAAUUCAGAAAUAAGAAUAAUGAAAUUUGUGGAGUGUCCGAGUAAUCUUGGUCUACAAUGUUCUAAGAAGCUACGCCAAGAUAUGCUUAUUCGGUGGAAUUCCACUUAUCAAAUGCUUGAAAGUGCUCUUCAAUAUCGGGAAGCUUAUAUUCACUAUAACUUGCUUGACAUUGAUUUUAGACACGAACUUUCUAAAGAUGAAUGGAAAAGGGUCGAGAUUAUAGCUAAGUUUCUUAAACUAUUUUAUGACAUUACGACUUUGUUUUCUGGAUGUAAGUAUCCCACGGCUAAUUUGUAUCUUCCUAAUGUAUGGAGAAUUUAAAUGUUGUUGGAAGAACAAAAAAAUAGUGGAGAUUCAGUGAUGAGUGAGAGGGGCACUUUGAUGUUGGUGAAGUUUAAGAAAUAUUGGGAGUCGUAUAGUGUCAUUUUAUCUAUAGCUAUUGACCUGGACCCUCGAUAUAAAUUGAAGUUUGUUAAGUUUUGCUUUUCAAAGCUUCAUCCCGAGGAGAUUGCUAAUGAAAAAGUGAAGGUUAUUGAACAUAACCUACAAUUGUUGUUCAAAGAGUACUUAAUACCUUCGACUACAACCUCAUUAUCAGGGGAUCAUGCUUGUAGUAGUGGUAGCAAUGAAAUGAGGGAUGCAUUUGAUGAGUUUGAUGAAUUUGAGAGUCAAUUGGAGUCAAGUAUAGGUAAAACACAACUAGACACAUAUUUGGAGGAAGCCACUCUUGUCCGUAAAACAAAUCCGAAUCUAGAUGUACUUGGCUUUUGGAAGGAUAACAUGCAUAGAUAUCCAGAACUCUCAUUAAUGGCACGAGAUGUCUUGAGUAUUCCUCUCACCACAGUAGCUUCUGAAUCUACGUUUAGCAUUGGUGGUCGUGUCAUUGGAAGGUUUCGAAGUUCUAUUCUUCUCGCCAAUGCUGAGGCAAAACUAUGUACUAGGGAUUGGGUUUGUGGAAGAGAAGAUCUUGAUGAUGGAUCCGAGUCUGAUGAAGAAGAUGAGAUUGUUGUUGAUCUUCAACCUUAUCUUGCGAAACUUAGAGGUAAAACCUUAUCCGGCUUGGGACUUUAAGCUGUUUCUCCUUCCGGGAACCUAAGCUUUGAAGUGAUUCUUUCUGGUGAGUUUUGUGUUUUCGCUCCCCUCUCUUUUGGUUUUUCUCAGUUUGCCAUGAAUAAAGAUUAAAAUCGCUGCAUCAUCAUAUACUUUCUUUAUUAGGGUGGUUUUUCUUUAUGAUAUCACCCUUCUUUUGGCUCAAUUCAAGUCACUCUAUUUCUGGGAUAUUACAUUUGUGUGCUUGUUGUUUCAGUUGCUGCUCCCAUUAAAGCUUUUACUGUAUGGUUAAGUCAUUCAUUUUCUCCAGGAUUUAGUCUAUACUGCUGCGCAAUGGUUCAUCUGUGGGAUGUGCAUUAGAUAAUCUAUCCUUAUAUCAUGGUAAUCCUAGACUAACAAGGCUGAAGGAACAUAUUUGUUGUAUUGCAUAAUAAAUAGUUCUGUCUAGGUAAUUGUUUGGGGCACAUUUUCAGAUUUCCCCUAAUACUAAACACAACUAGCUAGCUACAUAUAUAUGGAAGCAAGAUGCACCUGCUGACUAUUGGUACUAUUUGUGGUCAGCUUCAUGGUUUCUCCAGUCUGUUGUAUCACCAUUUAAGGGUUCCUCUGUUUUUGCCGACGAGAAGCAAAGCAGUGUUUUGUGAAACUGCAGAUUAUGUUGGAUGAACACUCAGAUACAUGGUCAAGCAUGAUGUUCUUGGUCAAAGUUCCGCUUUCUGCCACAAGUUGCAUCGGCUACCACAACAUUUUUAUUGUCUUUCAAAUGACUGUUGUCAACUGGAUAAGCUAUUACAAUGUCCUAAGGGUCUACUUUUGUGCAUUUUGCUUUGUAAACACUUAAUAAGUAUUUUGCCGGUGGUUAAAAUAUAUUCUGCUGGUACAUUUUGACGUAUUUUGCUGGUGUAUUUCAAUGUAUGUUGCUCAUUUGCUGCUACUUUUAGUGUCAAAAGAAAGAGUUUGAUUCACUGGUUUUGCUCUAGUUAUAAAUAUGUGAACCAUUACAAAC